AUGAACGCUGGCGGCGUGCCUAACACAUGCAAGUCGAGCGAAGCACUCUACCUGAUUUCUUCGGGAUGAAAGUAUUGUGACUGAGCGGCGGACGGGUGAGUAACGCGUGGAUAACCUGCCUCAUACAGGGGGAUAACACUUAGAAAUAGGUGCUAAUACCGCAUAAGCGCACAGUAUCGCAUGAUACAGUGUGAAAAACUCCGGUGGUAUAAGAUGGACCCGCGUCUGAUUAGCUUGUUGGCGGGGUAACGGCCCACCAAGGCGACGAUCAGUAGCCGGCCUGAGAGGGUGAACGGCCACAUUGGGACUGAGACACGGCCCAA
rnacentral:rRNA from 1 species